rnacentral:rRNA from 1 species
UACGUCGGGUGCAAGCGUUGUCCGGAAUUAUUGGGCGUAAAGAGCUCGUAGGCGGUCUGUCGCGUCGGCUGUGAAAACUCGGGGCUCAACUCCGAGCUUGCAGUCGAUACGGGCAGGCUAGAGUUCGGCAGGGGAGACUGGAAUUCCUGGUGUAGCGGUGAAAUGCGCAGAUAUCAGGAAGAACACCCGUGGCUAAGGCGGCUCUCUAGUACGGUACUGACGCUGAGACGCGAAAGCGUGGGGAGCGAACAGG